GGGCGGAUGCCUUGGCACUAGGAGCCGAUGAAGGACGUGAUAAGCUGCGAUAAGCUUUGGGGAGUUGCACGUAAACUUUGAUCCGAAGAUUUCCGAAUGAGGAAACUCACUUAGAGUAAUGUCUAAGUAUCGUUAAGUGAAUACAUAGCUUAGCGAGGGGAACCCGGGGAACUGAAACAUCUAAGUACCCGGAGGAAGAGAAAGAAAUUCGAUUCCGUAAGUAGCGGCGAGCGAACGCGGAACAGGCCAAACCAAUGAAGUUUACUUCGUUGGGGUUGCGGACAUACAACAUGGAUGCAAUAUCGUAAAAUGAAGAGGAGUUGGAAAACUCCGCCAUAGAAGGUAAUAGCCCUGUAGUUGAAACGAGAAAGCUACUAGUAUGAUCCAGAGUACCACGGGACACGUGAAACCCUGUGGGAAGCAGGAGGGACCAUCCUCCAAGCCUAAAUACUACCUAGUGACCGAUAGCGCAUAGUACCGUGAGGG
rnacentral:rRNA from 1 species